CAGACUGGUGAGACAACCACAAGGAGGAGAACGUGGAAACGGGUUUGAAGAGGACGUAGAGAAACACAGAGACCACUGUGAGGAAUGCGAUCACAGCCCCUGCAGCCACAACCACCCAUGUAAAGGUGGAGUCUGUAGACAGAGACGCAAAGAGCACGCUUGUCAAGGUACGAUGACUCCACUGUCUGGCUGUUUACCAACCAUGUGACCUCAGUAGAAUCUGCUGUUUGACAUUCGGUGUAGAUGCCUGCAUGGGCUCGCUUCACAGCUGGGAUCAUCAGUUUGCCUGUGUUCUGUUGGAAGGACCCUGCUUUGCCUGGUGGAGGAGCAGUGGUGUUGGAGUCCUGCAAGAAGCCAGCAUGUGGUUAAAUGACUCAUCACUACCAGCCUUAGCCUAUUACCUUAAAAGAGUGUAAAAAAUAAGACUUUCAAACGCAUCAGGCAGAAAGUUCCUUGCCAAGCGCCGACAGGUAUAUUCCCCUGAGUCUGAAGCCAGAGCUGGGAGGAGCCACAGCUGGUUAUCCUGCUGCUGAACACGGCCUUCAGCCUGAUAGUUUGUGCCCUCCGUCUCAUUGUCCUUGGUGAUGGAGUACUCGGCGGUUGG